rnacentral:miRNA from 1 species
AGUCCUUCCCGGGUCCCCUAGA